GAGAGAGCCGUCGUCUCUGCUGCGUUGCUUCAUAACCUCAUCCACGUGGGGGGGGUUAGUUCCCAUGAUGAGAGCAGAGACGUACACCUACAACUCAACUCUUGUGUGUCAUUGCGUCUGGAUGCACGUGUUUUUCUUUUACCCGUGAGAGAUCAGUUCCCCGUUGUAAACACAGCUGUCCCCAUGGUAGGCCAGCUGUCUGAGGACAAGUCCAUGUGAUGUCCAUGGUAGGCCGCCUGUCUGAGGACAAGUCCAUGUGAUGUCCAUGGUAGGUCAACGGAGCCGUCUGAGGACACGUCCAUGUGAUGUCCAUGGUAGGCCAGCUGUCUGAGGACAAGUCCAUGUGAUGUCCAUGGUAGGUCAACGGAGCCGUUUGAGGACAAGUCCAUGUGAUGUCCAUGGUAGGCCAGCUGUCUGAGGACAAGUCCAUGUGAUGUCCAUGGUAGGGGUUUCCCCCCUGAGGACAAGUCCAUGUGAUGUCCAUGGUAGGGGUUUCCCCCCUGAGGACAAAUCCAUGUGAUGUCCAUGGUAGGCCAGCUGUCUGAGGACACGUCCAUGUGAUGUCCAUGGUAGG
ensembl:lncRNA